rnacentral:piRNA from 1 species
UGGGAUCCUACAACAUGGAUGGGAUGU